GGCAGACUCACGCUGUGAAAAGCCACCUGCCCGAGGGUCAUUGCCCACUGCGGGUUGUCUGGAUACCAUCCUCCCCACCUCCAUCCUGCCGCUCCCACUCUGGGAAACUAAACCGAGUGAUGAUUCCAGCCGACAGGAGCAGCUGAGACUCUCUCUGGAGAGAAGGCCGGCAGCCCACCAGCUGCAUCUGCAGAACUGCGAUUUGAGAGGAGUCUUCCUCUCCAAGAGCAGGCUCUAAUUACAGUCAGCAUCACCUCCUAGGAAACUUCUCUGGGUUUCAGACAUCCCUCAGAAGCAAUCAGAGAUACCUUGAAAUAAUUAUUUCAGACCUGCCUGUCACACUGUCAACAGAGAAGCAGAGGUUGACCAGAUGCUCUUCCACUGGAUCCUUUUCCGUGUACCCUGAAAGAAGCUCAUAGCCAGAGACCCACAGCUUUGGGCCUCGCCUGUCAUUAGUGACUCGCUUUCCCUUUCUGUGAAAUAAGGGUAGCCCUGGAAUGAGGCCACUUAUUUAUCGUGGGAAGACACAAAAUUCAGUUCUGCCAGCUGGUCCUCAGUGACUUCAAGGUCUUUUUCAAAAUGUGUCACCCUCAGAUUACUCAGCUGAGAAGUGGGUAUAAUGCCACUAGGAGCAGGGUUGCACAGUUCCUGUAAAACAUGAAUAAAGUAUGAAAGCAGUGCUCCAGGUA